CCCACGUCCCCCAGCCCCACAUGCCUUUUCUCUUUGCUUAAUGGAAAUGGGGAAUGUGUGAGGCCACUUUGUGGCCUGGAGUCACGUCCCAGUGGGGCCAACAGGUGGAAGAGCCAUGCCUAUGAUCACCAUGCCAGGCAUCCACCCAUCCCUGGUCUGUACUGGCUCACCGAUCUGGCUGCUAUGUUCUACACGUGUGCCCACCUGAGGUGCACCCGGAGCUCCGGGGUCACCAGGGCCAUGUGGCAUUCCCUGGUGGCCUUGACUCAGGUGGGCUGGCUCUCCCUGCACCCCAAGGCUGUGGCUUCCAGUGUUCCCUGGACUGGAUGCAGGUAGGUUGAUGUCUGGGCUCACUGUUUUUGCAGUGAAUCAUCAACUCUGCGGUUCUAGGGGCCAUGGAGCCCUCUGUUGCUGCCCCUGACCCACACGCUCGUGUGAAUUUUCAGGGACACCAAAUAAAACACACACACUUGACUUUUAAACAAGCUCAGUUGUUCUCGGCCUCAAGCUCCCCAAAUGAGAGAGCAAGAGAAAGUCACGAGAAAAGUUCCAUCCAAAAAAGACCAGAGGGGCAAGGUUACAAGGGACAGGUGAGUGUAAUUCAACCCAAGGGGCAUCGCCUACAUCUGAAGACGCCCUCAACUUCCUGAACCAGGACAGCACCCAGAUCACUACGAAAUGUAGUGAUGGUCACAGCCUCUCCUUCAGAGUGGAAGGCGCGAGUCAUUCAGAGUGGCUCCCCACGCGCUCUCAUGCCAGUCCUGGAGGUUCUCAGAUCCAUGGGAACCCUGCAAGGGUGGACAGCUGCUUCUUAGUGCAAGUCUAGCCC
rnacentral:lncRNA from 1 species